AUUGAACGCUGGCGGCAUGCUUUACACAUGCAAGUCGAACGGUAACAGGCCGCAAGGUGCUGACGAGUGGCGAACGGGUGAGUAAUGCAUCGGAACGUGCCCAGCCGUGGGGGAUAACGCAGCGAAAGCUGUGCUAAUACCGCAUACGAUCUAUGGAUGAAAGCGGGGGACCGUAAGGCCUCGCGCGAUUGGAGCGGCCGAUGUCAGAUUAGGUAGUUGGUGGGGUAAAGGCUCACCAAGCCAACGAUCUGUAGCUGGUCUGAGAGGAAGACCAGCCACACUGGAACUGAGACACGGCCGAGACUCCUACGGGAGGAAGCAGUGGGGAAUUUUGGACAAGGGGCGCAAGCCUGAUCCAGCAAUGCCGCGGGCAGGAAGAAGGCCUUCGGGUUGUAAACUGCUUUUGUACGGAACGAAAAGGUCUGGGUCAAUACCCUGGGCUGAUGACGGUACCGUAAGAAUAAGCACCGGCUAACUACGUGCCAGCCGCCGCGGUAAGAC
rnacentral:rRNA from 1 species